rnacentral:rRNA from 1 species
UACGUAGGGGGCAAGCGUUGUCCGGAAUCAUUGGGCGUAAAGAGCGUGUAGGCGGCUUGGUAAGUCCGCUGUGAAAGUCCAGGGCUCAACCCUGGAAAGCCGGUGGAAACUGUCAAGCUUGAGUCCGGAAGAGGCGAGUGGAAUUCCUGGUGUAGCGGUGAAAUGCGCAGAUAUCAGGAGGAACACCAAUGGCGAAGGCAGCACUCUGGGACGUGACUGACGCUGAGACGCGAAAGCGUGGGGAGCAAACAGG